CACUAGCGGCCCGAGUGGUGUCCACGAAUAUUGGGUCUAAAGAGUCCGUAGCUGGUCCGUUAAGUUUCCUGUGAAAUUUCAGGGCUCAACUCUGAAGCGUGCAGGAAAUACUGGCGAGACUUGAGAGCGGGGGAGGUCUAGAGUACUCAUGGGGUAACGGUAAAAAGCUUUGCUUGCGAGCAAAAUUUGCAAGCCUAGCUUGCAAUGUUGUAAUCCUAUGAGGACUUCCAGUGGCGAAGGCGCUA
rnacentral:rRNA from 1 species